rnacentral:misc_RNA from 1 species
GUAGGUGAACCUGCGGAAGGAUCAUUACAGAAUUGGAUGGUUGGUGGGUGGGGUGGUUUGGUUGGUUGGUUGGUUAUGCCAAUCUCGGAUCGGAUCUCGGAUCUCGGAUCUCGGAUCUCCCGUCCAUCACAUAUCAUUUGCGCUUGUAUUGUUUGACAGAGUAAAUGGUGAAUAAUAAUAUUAUGACAACUUUUAACAAUGGAUCUCUGGGCUCUU